ACGGCGAGUGAACCGGGAAGAGCUCAAAUUUGAAAUCUGGCGUCCUCAGGGCGUCCGAGUUGUAAUCUAUAGAGGCGUUUUCCGUGCCGGACCGUGUCCAAGUUCCUUGGAACAGGAUAUCAAAGAGGGUGACAAUCCCGUACUUGACACGACGACCGGUGCUCUGUGAUACGUCUUCUACGAGUCGAGUUGUUUGGGAAUGCAGCUCAAAAUGGGUGGUGAGUUCCAUCUAAAGCUAAAUAUUGGCGAGAGACCGAUAGCGAACAAGUACCGUGAGGGAAAGAUGAAAAGCACUUUGGAAAGAGAGUUAAACAGUACGUGAAAUUGUUGAAAGGGAAACGAUUGAAGUCAGUCGUGACCGAGAGGCUCAGCCGGUUCUGCCGGUGUAUUCCCCUCGGUCGGGUCAACAUCAGUUUUGUCCGGUGGAUAAGGGCGGUAGGAAGGUGGCACCCUCGGGUGUGUUAUAGCCUGCCGUCGCAUACAUCGGGUGAGACUGAGGAACGCAGCUCGCCUUUAUGGCCGGGGUUCGCCCACGUCCGAGCUUAGGAUGUUGACAUAAUGGCUUUAAACGACCCGUCUU
rnacentral:rRNA from 1 species